AAAGGGGGUCGCGCGACCUGAAAGUUUGGGAACCUAUGCCCUAGAGUUAAGGCCAUCUGAUCUACAAGCGUAAUUAGUGAACUAUUGCAGCAUUAUCAAGUGGUGAGUUCGUUGCCAGUUUGAGGAUCUUCAUGAACUUCCUUGCGUAUACGUCAUCGCAUCUUCUACUAACGUAUUUGGUUGUCUCUAAGAGAUUUACGACUAAGGUUCAUACUCACACAACCUGAGGUAACUAUGAUCUAUCAAGUUUUGAGUUCGAAGAAUCAUUGAGGGUUUCCAAGAACUCUCUUGAGUAUAGGUCAUCCAAUCUACGAGGGGUACUAGUUGUAUCUAAGUACAUUUAGAAUGAUAAACCUCAUUCUCAUUCUCACACAGCCCCAGGCAUCUAUGUUCUAUCAAGUGAUGGGUCUAUGAUUGUAUGGGAGUAUCCGAGAACUCCCUGGAGUUAAGGCCAUCUGAUCUACAAACGUAAUCAGUGAUCCAUUGGGACAUUAUGAAUGAAAGUUAUGCUUGCAUAGCCUCAUGCAACUAUGUGCUGUCAAGUGGUGAGUUCGUUGUCAGUUUGAGGAUUUCAAAGAACUUCCUUGAGUAUAGAUCAUCGGAUCUAUUAACGUAUUCGGAUGUCUCUAAGAGAUUUAAGACUAAGGUUCACACAACUCACACAACAUCAGGUAACUAUGAUCUAACAAGUUUUGAGUUCGAAGAAUCUUUAAGGGUCUCCAAGAACUCCAUUGAGUAUAGGUCGUCGAAUCUACGAGGGCUACUAGUUGUAUCUAAGUGCAUUUAGAAUGAGAUUUAUACUCACACAGCCCUAGGCAUCUAUGUUCUAUCAAGUGGUGGUUUCUAUGAUUGUAUAGGAGUGUCCGAGAACUCCCUGGAGUUAAGACCAUCUGAUCUACAACCUUAAUCAGUGAUCUAUUGGAGCCUUAUGAAUGAAAUUUAUGCUUACACGGCCCAAUGUUGUUAUGUGUUGUAAAGUGGUGAAUUCGUUGUCAAUUUGAGGAUCUCGAAGAAUUUUAUUGAGUAUAUAUCAUCGGGUCUACCAACGCUUCAUGACUAAGGGUCAUCUGAGACCUCCUGAAACCUCCUGGGACGCCCUGAAACGGAUUGAAACCCCUUGAAACGUCUUGAAACGCUUUGAAACGCUCUGAAACGCCUCUUAAACCCCUACAAAAUCUCCAUAAAGUUCACCUGAGAGCCUUUGAAGCCCCUUUGACCCCUGUGAAACCUCCUGUAACGCCCUGAAACGCAUUGAAACGCCUUGAAACGCUCUGAAACGCCACUGAAAUCCCUAUAAACAUCCAUAAAUUUACCUGAGAUCCUGCGAGGCUCCAUAAAACGCCUUAUAAACUCCCUGAAACGCAUUGAAACGCCUUUACACGCUUUGAAAAGCCUUUGAAACCCUCAUGAAACCUCCGUGAAAUUCAUCUGCGAGCCUCUUAAGCCCCCUCUAAUUCCCCGGGAACCUCCUGAAAUGCCCUGAAACGCAAUGAAAACAUUGAAACGCCUCUGAAACCCUCGUGAAAUCUCCGUGGAAUUCAACUGCGAGUCUCUUAAGCUCUCUCAAGCUUAUCGGAAACCUCAUGAAAUGCCCUGAAACGCAUUAAAACGCCCUGAGACGCCUUGAAACGCUUUGAAACGCCUCUAAAACCAUUAUGAAAUCUCCGUGAAAUCUACUUCCUUGCCACAAAAGCCCCUUCAAAUUCAUCCGAAACCUUCUAAAAUGCCCUGAAACGCAUUUAUACGCCUUGAAACACUUUGAUAAGCAUCUGAAACCCUUAACUAUCCCCCCUUACCUUCAUGAACGCCUUGAAACGCUUUGAAACGCCUCUAAAACCCCUAUGAAAUGCCUCUGGAAUCCCCAUGAAACCUCCGUGAAACUCAUCUGAGUUUCUGAAACCUCAUUAAAUCUCUCUGAAACCUCCUGAAACGCCUCUGAAACACAAAUGAAAUCCAUGUGAAACGCACCUAAGAGCCUCUGAAGUUCACUAAAAUACUUCUAAAACCUCCUGAAACGCCCUGAAACGCCUUGAAACGCUUUGCAACGCCUCUGACACUCUAGUGAAGUUCAUCUGAGAACAUAUGAAGCCCCCUAAAAGCCCUUUGAAACCUCCUGAAACGCCCUGAAACGCUUGGAAACGCCUCUGACACCCAGAAAAACUUCCUUGAAAUCCCUUAUUUAGGCAGUUCCGACUCGUUACCUAAAUGGAGGUUCGGGUGAACAAGCGACUGACGCUAGUUUCUUCGUACGAAGUGUUGCUGAUAUCUUAAUGCGCUUUAGGUAUUACUUAUUGCGUUCAACUUCUCAGCUCUCUAUCUACCAUUCAACCUAGUAUGUAGCGUACCUCCUGUAAGUGUGUACAACUAAUGUAGCAACAUUCCGGAGGCACUACAAACGAGCGGUUGUAGUCCAUCCACGGCGGGCGAUAUACCGUCCGUCACCAUCUGCAACAGUAUUAUCAGCCAGCAGUAGUUAUAGUCAACAUUUUUUUGGUUUAUAAUUAAAUUACUGGGAUCAUGCAAGCGGUCGGUGGCUGGGCUGGCGGUUGGUCCUUUUGCGGAAAGGUGCCAACACAACGCAUGCCACUAACAUAACAUUACCUCUCUAGGCAAGAACGAAAAUAAAGCUCGCGAGCGAGCGAGCGUCCUCGUGGCGUGCAUUCAUUGUCACCGCAUCGUCGACCGACUGAUGCGGCUCAACGUCCACUCGUCCGUCCCAUCACAAACCAAACAAGUCAACAAACGUAUCUAUCUUCUCAAUCCCAAGUCGUCACCGCGUGCUGUUGUUGCUGCUGCUGCUGCUGACCCGAACACAAAUCCACAUCGGGCUCGGUUUGUUUGGCAGUAACCAGAAAUGCGAUAAUAACAACAAUAUAUAUAUUUUUGAGGAACAGACGUCAUGCGAAACCGAUCGCGUCGAGAGGGACCAUGGGGCGAGGUACAGCGAUAAGGGAAAAGUACUCAAUUUCGUCCAUCAUGAUUUGGAGCAUUUAUAUUAAAUAUAUUUUUCUUCCAACGACUUUGAUCUUUAAUCUUUAUGUAUAUCAAAACUGAAAAAUGUCAUGAAAUUUUUUUCCAUGACAUUUCACGAAAUUUUCCAACCCUGCUUACGGCAGACCGUUGAAUUCUUUGCAUCUGCUCGACCUGCAUAAUCGAUAACUAUAAGACGUGCUUAACCACCCAUUCGGUGUACAAUCCGAACAAUAUGCGAUAUUGUUGAAACGUCUACAUUACGGUCCGUGUAUGGUAUUGCUUGAUUAGGGAAGUUCGUGCUGGGAUGCCUGCGUGUUUUUUGGAAGUGGCUGUGAGGCCGUGAAAAGUUGACCGGUUGGUUGUUGAUUAUUCUUAAGGACAAACGUCUUGAAAUCCCGCUUCAACAGUGCAUCAGAACUUCAGACGCACAAAUUUCGAGAAGCAAACUUCAAACAACAGUGCAUUUUAUUGUUCUGUUCUUGCUCACUUGUAAUAAGCUUAAAUUAAGAAGAUCAGGUGCGCUGGUUUCGUUUACGAUGAGAUUUGUGCCCUCGAAAUCGUGAGUAGGCCACUGUGGCGGCCAUUUUGGGAUUCUAAUAAGUCUGUCCUUAAGUUGACGUAUCACAGUUCUCCGGUUGCAUAACUUGCAGGCGUGAUAUGACAGAUUAACAAUGUCAGUGAUGUAGAGUGCAAAAUAAAAACUUGCAAUCGUAUUUCAUUAGUUCAAGGUUUACCUCUAACGUCAAACUUUAACUACUUGCCACUUAAAAAUUGUAAUUAUAAAACAGACAGUACACCGUCUUCAACUAGAGGUUCUACAGACUUGACGAACACCAACAUUCUGCAAUGGACAACACACACACAACAACCCAGUAGCCAGUGUAGAAUGUUUUGCACGACGAAAAGUUUUUCUCGACUGGAGCGGGAAUCAAACCCACAGACCGAGGUUUUAGGACAUUGUGUCGAAAGACAUUUGGUUGAAUAAAGUUUGGUCGAAUGGCAUUUAGUCGAAAGUGAAUUUGAUCGAAAGGACAUGCUGAUUUUUCUCAUCAUGGAUGUCUCCUUCUUCUAGUAGGGGAUGUGUGCCAUCAGUAUUCUCACGCUCCCAUAUUCAUCCUAUACGAAAACAAGCGAUUACGGCACCGAUUGAUUCCGUUCUUUUUGUUUUCAUGGGUGCGCACUUCUAACAAAAAUUACAAAAAUAAGAAACAAAACAAACAGCGUUUCAAUCCUUUGUUUUUCGUAGGAUGAAAAUGGGAACCAUAUGCUUCAUAAUGGAAGCAAUACCCUAUGUUCUUUCAAGUUUUAUAAUUUGAAAAUGGUCACGGCACGGCCACGAAGCCCACUACAUAGGGAGAUUAGGGGCAUAAUGGACAACCGGGGCGAAAUGGACACCCCUGUUUUUGCCGAAACCGUUGACUUUUAUGUAAAACUUUCAAUGCAUAAGAGUAAAGGAACAAGUCAUGGCUCUAUUUUUCAAAAGUACCGUAUAUAUUGCUCCAAAAUAACCAAAAUAUCAUUGAAAUUGAAAUAUGUUUUUCAUAUGAUGAAAUUCUUAUAAUUUCGAAGCAGCAUCAAAUAAGGUAAUACGAGUGUUGGAGUGUGUCCACCAUAAAAACAAGUGAAUUGAUACCUUAUCUACAUGUAUACGAAGAUUUAGCAAUGGAUGAAGUAUUUUAUUUUUGAUCAGAAUUUACUUAAAAUAACAAUUUUAAUGUAGUAGUCGAUUCGGGGCGAAAUGAACACUGGCAAUUAUGAAUGGAUGUACGUGCAUUGCAUACUGUUAGGCGUUUUAGAGAGUUUGGAAAAAAUCAAUCCGAUUAUUUUAGCCUAAAGUUUAUUUAAUUAACUUUGAUGUUAUGUAAACUCGUCUAAGAUGGAGUAUUAUAUCCGUGGUAUUGUUCUUCGUAGGCAAAUUACUUAACUGGUCGAUGUAACCAAAGAAUUAGCAUAAAACAUGCAGAGGUGUCCAUUAUGCCCCGAUGGGUGUCCAUUUCGCCCCGUACCUUUCCUGCCAGCCCUGAAAAACACACGAUUUACAAUUCAAUAUUUCUUCACAAUAAAGACAUUUUACAUCCUGUAAAUGAUUGAAAGACGUAGGAAACAUGUUAAAGUUGUAAGUCAACUGAUAAUAUGUUCAGUUUUACUCUGUUAUACAGGCCUAACGUACUCAUUUGCUUAGGGUGUCCAUUAUGCCCCUAAUACCCCUAAUUGAUUGGAUUAACCAAAAACUGAUACCAUACACCCAGGUACGAAUCAAAACGUGGAACGCUUACCCUAAUAAAUGCGUGGAGCUCAUGGGAACACAUUUUAUUUUAGAGAGCCGCACGAUUGUACUCAAAUCGACGUCAUACUCUGCUUGAUUCCUACUUUGCUGCUAUACCUACAUAUGACUGGAACGUGAUAAGCAAUCUCCAAUGCAUUGGACUUGCUUGCUUCAAGUCGAUGAAUGACCGUUUAGUUGUAGCAGUUUUGAGUAGUAUAGCUGCUCGGUUUAGCAUUAGCACUCAUUCCCGCCCCUUACCAGAGCACAUAAAUUUGGGGCUAUUAGACUAUCCUGACUAUUAGACAAAAUUGAAGUUUGCCAACGGUCAAAAAGUAUUCUGAUCAUGUCGUUGGACACUUGAGAAAAAAGCAAACAUCUCUACGUUCUCUCAGUCCUAUGAAUUUGGUUGUUGUUGUUGUUAGUAGAAAGUAAAAGUCCAAAGAAUACGUUUGGUCAUAGCAUGGUCAAGCGUACGAAAUAAUAUUUAGUUGUUUAGUAGACGAAUUUGGAACCAAUAUGCGGAUUUCACGGGAACGCCAUGUGGGAUUCCUCUAGGAAUUCCUCCUUGUAUUUCUCUGGAUAUUCCUACUACCUAUGAUAUCUUUCGGGUUUCCUCUACAGAUUUCAAUUGGGAUUCUUUUAGCUGGAAUUCCGAAGACCGAAAGGAGUUCCUGGAGAAACUCCAUGAGAAAAAUCAGGAGGAAUCCCUGGAUAAAAUGUUUAACGAAAUCCUUGAAUGAGUCCUUGGAGAAGGCAGAAAUUCCUAGCGAAGUACCUAGAAAAAUUUGGGAAGGUAUCACAGUAGGAAUUACUAGAAAAAUCCUAGGAGGAAUUACUGCAAGAAUCUCUACAAAAAAUUCUAGAGAAAUUCCAUCAGAAACUCCUGAAGCAAUCCUAAAAGAGCAAUCAUCAAAGAAAUAUCUGGAAAUAUCUAGCGAAAUUCCUGGUGGAGUAUUCCUGGAGGUAUUACAAUAAAAAAUUCUGGAUAAUUCCUAGGAGGAAUUGCUGGCAGCAGAACAUGCUUGAGAAAUCGCAGCUGGAGUUCCUGAAAGAACCCUAUGAGAAAUUUCUGGAGAAAUCCCUGAAUAAAAUCUCUGAAGGAACUCUGGGGAAUCACCCGAGGAACUUCUGGAAGAAUUAUUCCUUGAAUAAUCCCAGCAAGAAUUCCAGAGGAAAUCUCAGUAGAAAUAUCUAGAGAAAUCCCUAGAAGAAUUCCGGAAGAGAUAUCAAGUAGAAAUUUCUAGAUAAAUCCUAGGAGGAAUUGUAGAAGGAACCUCUGCAGGAAUACCAUCCUGUGUGAAAUCUCAUCAGGAAUGUCUGAAGUUCCUGAAAUAAGUUUUCAUGAAGAAAUCCAUCAGGGAACCUAGAGAAAUCCCUAGUAGGAUUAAAGGAGUUCGAGUUUCGGAUAUCGCAAAAAAACAGCUCAGGGCGAUGAAUUAUGAAAAAUCACGAAAUUUAAGGUGUGGUUUGGAUCAAAAAUGACCCUAAUGCCAAAGGGAGGUUAAGUGAGGUAACGGGUUCGAUUCCCGAUCGGUCAAGGAACUUUUCAUUUCCUUGACUGCCUUUUAAGUACCUAUUAGAUUGUUUGUCAAUUGAGCAAAUAUUUGUCAUUUUUUAUCAAAUAUAUUUGACGAAUAAUGUAAUGACCAAAUAAGUUUGGCCAAAUAAGUAAGGGGAAAUAUUUAGCCGUUAUUUGCCAUACACAGACAAAUAAUCGCCUACUGGUUGUUAGCCAAACAUUUUUGCCCAUGACAUUUGGACAGUUGGAGCUGGAGCGAAGCCAUCUGCAUCCUGUGAACCAUCAUGGAUUAAAGUUUUGUUGGCUUGAACUGUGAUUAUCUUGGCUGAUGAAUGUUUGGCGCUGAAGACGUUCGGCAUUUCUGAAUCCUCCAUCGACGCGGAUCAAUCCGUACUCGUCGACAUUGGCCUUCAACCGUCGAAGUGGAAAAUUUACACAUACCAAACGGUCAAUGAUUCGAACAGAGGAAUGGGACACGGAUGGAUUGAGCGAGGACGUAACAACACGUCCCAUAAUGCCACUCUAUGAAUUAUUAUCCCAAGUACAUAGGGAUUCCCUUACAAUUUGGGACAAUUAUGCAAAGAAACUGACUUCGUCGACGGCGGAAACAAACCGUUGGAUUUUGGCUUCUCAGAGGAGAUCAGUGGCCGUGCCGUAACUUGCCAGUCUUGUUGAAAUUUCGGUAGGUUGAUGCCAUUAUAUUAAUUUAUCUUAUGAUCAGUUUGGUUUUCGUUACAGUGGGCCCUACUCAUUAGCGAAACUAUGGAUUUUUGCCAGGAAGUGCACUACAAAUAAAAAUUCAUUUGUUUAUCCAUUUAUUAUUUAUCGUCCCACAUUUCACAACAACCCACUCAAAUUCCCCGCUUUCCCGUUAGUCUCGCCCAUGGUCCCACUCUACGGGUCAAAGACAUCCUUAUUUAUAUACACUCCAUGUCUUAUUUCUUAUCGUAUCCACUUUCGAAUGUACUGGUCGUACGCACCCGCAUCCCAUUUCAACAGUUCAGUUCCUGAAGUCUGGGAUUUCUCCAGGAGUUUCUUCUGAAAUUAACCUUGAUUUCCUUUCUUAAAUUUUCUUCUGGAGUUUCUACGGGGCUUGAUUCAGGAGUUCCACCAAGAAUACGUAUUGCGGAAUUCUUUCGAAUUUUUUUUUCUCAGAACAAUGUUUUUAAAUUCCUCCAGGAGUUUUUUCUGGGGCUCCUCCAAAAGUUUCCCCGGGGGUUUCUCCAGAAGUCUGUAUGAUAUAAUUCUUCCAAAAGUUUCAUCUAUAAAUCCUCAGAGUUCAUUGUGGGAAUGCUUCUGGAAGGAAUUUUCUGAGGACUUAACUAUUGUAGGUUUCCCUAAAAAACAGAGCAAUUCUUCGAGAAGUGUUCAGAAGAAAUCCAUUUAAGAAUAUGAAAGAGCCCACGAAAGGGAUUUUUAUUGGAAACCCGGAAGGAAGUCCUUAAAGAAUUGCUUGAAGGAAUUGACAAAAUUGCUGAGGCAGUCCUCAAAAGGAACACUCUAGUGAAAUUUCUUUAAUAGCUGAAAAAAAACAAUUGGCUCGAUUGUCCGAGUGUUGCGGAAUACGACACCAACAGCUCAGCGAUAUUAGUUAGCUCUGGAUGCUCUGAUGUCCGUUUGAGGUUGACACAGUUGGAAGAAUCUAGAGCACUUGAUGAUCGUCUCCUACUCCAGCUUGCUGAAUGAGAGCAAGCUUUGUCGAGAAGCAUCAGCUGGUGGAUGAAAUAUGGAUUAACCAAUCGGUAGAUACUCCUGCAAAGGUACCACACCCAAGGGCGUCAAUAUCCACUACUAUUGCAAUUAAUCAUUUUGAGCAGUCGUGUCACUUGAUAACGUCGUCAUCCAAGAACAUCAGAAACAGCAUCCACUGGUAUCAACAUGAAUGGCAACUUCCACCAAAAGUAUCGUCGGGUCCGAAGCAGUCAGUGCUAUCAAGUUUAAAUCCUAUAGAAAGUUACGUUUCUGCUCAUGUCUAAUGGCCAACAGAACUGCUACCACAGAACCUGCCUUUCCAGCAACCGUGUAGCAGGAAUCUAGGCAUAGGAAGGACCGGUAAUUGAAUUAAUCAGAAUCAGACAAAUGAGUCCGAUUUGUACUCACUUUAAUUCAAUACAGCACCUGUCAAAACGUUUGACCAAAUAAGUUUGUGGCAAAUAUUUGAUCACAGGGUGCUUUGACAAACAUCUUUGGCAAAAUAUUUGAUCAAAUUUAACGAAGCAAAUAUUUGCCAUCAUAGCAAACAGUCUAAUGGCAUAGAGUUUUUUUGUGCCUACAACACGAAUUACAGAUGCAAAACGGUCAUUGGAAGAGGAAGCUCUUAGUUAAAAACUAUGAAAGUGCUCAUAGAACAUGAAGAAGCAGGCUUCGUCUCAGUGUGGACGUUACGCCAAGAAGAAGUAGAAGGAGAAGCUGAUAAUGUUUUGUUUACUUUCGAAAAUAAAACUUGGAAUUGCUAGAAUCGGUUCCCGGUAAAUAUAUUGGCUUCAAAAUGGCCACAAGUAUUUUAGACAACGCAAAACAAGCACAGAAUUGUAAAUUUUGAAACCCGUUAUGUUUCCAUCGAUUCCAAAAAGGUCAUAUGUAUUUGCCAUUCAAAAUAUGAAGAUCACCAAUAGAUUCCGCCAUUUUUUUGGGAUACUUACAAGCAUAGGGUCACGGUUAAUUAGUAAUCAUGUGCUGUCAAAUUCAUCCUAUUCGGAAAAAGCGAUUACCGCACCAAUUAAUUUCGUUCGUUUUGUUAUCAUGCAUGCUCACUUCUAACAAAUACAAAUUGAAAAUUGAUUGACCGCCCACAGUUGUAACUCCAGUAACGCCCAAUCAGCUACACUUACAUAAGGGACCAAUGAGAUACAUACAUAGUUGCUUAGGACCAACCGUGAUAUUCAAUGUGUGGGUAUUGAUGAUCUUCUAUUUUUAGGCGACAAUGGCGCCUGCUACGUCAGGUCCAUGUGGGGAUUGCGAGGGGAAUAAUAAUUGCAAUCGCUUGUUGCCUACAGGCCGUUGAGUGUUCUGCGCCUGCACUAGGUCAUGCGGAUAUCGAAGUGUUGUUGGAAAAUGUUUGUUUUUGGCACCGAGGUUCACGCAUUGAUGCGUGGAUGCCAGACGUAAAGUGAUGGAUUAACAUUGCACUUGGUUGCAUAACUUUUAGGCGUUAUAUGAUCAGGGUGGCCACUCAACUCGGUAAAAUAAAUUCCCGGUUAUUUCCCGGUUUUUCCCGGUACCUAAAAAUUUUUUCCCGGUUUUCUAGUAAUUGAUUUAUAUGGUUAAAUCGGAACACUGAUAUUGCUAUUUUCUAUUUUCUUACCUUACUGGAAGCGCACCAUUGUCAAAGGUCUAACAAUGUCAAAAAUAUCAUUCAUCAUAAACAGCCCAAGUGAAGUAGGCUUUUGGCUCAAUUGAUCGCGUUCUAGGAGGUUGACAAUUUAUGGCGGCUUUAAUAAAUUUUACAUUUAUAUAUUUUUUGAAUUCCCCAACAAUAUAACACCAUAACUGUUCAAUUUUAUGCUUUAAGCUUGAACUGUUUAAUGCUCAAAAUGACAUAAAAAUACUUGAAUGCGAUUUUUGUUAUGUGCAAGUUAUCAACAUUCAAAAUUCAGAAAACGUUAGUAAAAUCUCGAACAAAGCGAAAACUAAAUCAUGCCUAACAAUUAGAAGCGAAUGAGCCCUGCUAUUAGAGCAUCUUUGGUGGAAAAACAAAAUCCAAUAUAGGCCACAUUUAGUAAAAAGUCCAUAUUUUCUCUAGUCCUAAAAACUUAAAAUAUUUCUCAAGAAAGUAUUUUCGGAAUUUUAUACAUAUUAGAUAUGCUCUAUUCAAAGUUAGGGUAAAGAUUUUUAAUAGAAAUGCCAAAUGAAAUUUUUGAAAAAAAAAAACUCAAAUCAAUUUCUCGAGAAUCUACUGGAGCAAUCCCUGGGAGAUUAUUCGAAAAAUCUCUUGAAGAAACUUGUAAAUGUAAUCUGGAAUGUAAAAACUAUUUGUGGAAUCUCUGGAAUAAUUAUUAAAGGAUUCCUUGCUAAUGUUCACUGUUGAGAUGCUUGACAGUAUACUAAUGAAAGAGGGACUCCUGAAGAAAUCCAUGGGAGGAUUCAAAUAGGUAAAAUAUAGUUGGAAUUCUCAAAUAAAUUACUCCAAAAGUAUUUGACAAAAAGCAUGUAAAAUCUUUAAGAACGUCUUUAGAAAUUAUUUAUAAUUUUAUCAAUAAUUUUCUUGAAAAAAAUUAAAUUAUUGGUAAAACUGCUUGAUAUGGUUGAAUUGUUUUGGAAAAGUUACUUGUAAGACGUUUCAAGAAAUCCCUGGGAAAAUAUCUUGUUAAAUCUCUUAAUGAAUGUUUGGAGAAAUCUCUAGGAGAAUCUGCGAAGAAACUCUUGGUUUAUCAUCAAGAGAAAUGUUAGCCAACCUGGAAGAAUCGAUUGUAUACUAUCUAAAGAACAUGUCCAACAUGAAAUACUGGAAAAAAUGUUAUGAAAUUCUUGAAGACGAUCGAUUUAACAGAAUUUCUAAAAUCAUACACAUUUGUAAUUGUAAAGGAACACUGCGGUAAAAUAAAGUAUUUUUAUUAAUAUGGCAAUAUUUUUAUCUGUAAUGAAACAAUACACUGACUGUCCUACCCAAGACAAAUUAUUUAACGUUUUCCAUUUAUACCUUAGCUUUUACAAAAACAAUUGUAAUUCUCUACAACAGUUCUAUUAAAAAAAGUCCAAGAUUUAAAUCAAAAUUUAAGAAAAAUCUAAAAUAAAUCUUAUGAUUAAGUUUUGAACUCUAAAUCUAGUAUCUGCGAUAUAGUAUCUUUAGAUUACAAAAAUAUAGAUCAUGUUCUAGAAAAAAAUAUGAUUCUCAUGUAGAUGCAAUAGAAAUUAUUAUCCUGGACCUUCAAUUUUAAGGGUGGUUUAUGUUCUAAGCAAAUUCCCGGUUUUUUCCCGGUUUUUCCCGGUUGUUUGCGAUUCCCGGGUAAUUCCCGGUUUUCCCGGAAUUCCCGGUUGAGUGGCCACCCUGUAUGAAAAAUUAGUGCUGUGAAAGUUGGAAGACAGAGAAACUUUUUUUUUUCAAUCCGUUUCUGGUACUAGUAAUCGCUAUGAACAUACGAAUAUACAUGAGAUGUAUACCCGGCAGAACAGGGAGCGAUAUAGGGAAGCAAGAGUAGCCGAAAAAGGAAUCCACCGCAAAAAGAAAAAAAGAGCACGAGGAAAAUGUGAUUGCUCACUGCUCAGGCGCAAGAGAGUAUGGAACAGAAUGAUAUGCGGAGAUUUUACGAAACUGUCAAUGGUGUGCGGAGAAAAACAACGCCUUCUCCCGUCAUGUGCAACGACCGUAAUGGAAACUUACUGACAGUCAAGACUAUGGUGGCUGCCAGGUGGAGAGAGCACUUCGAGGUAUUGUGGAACGGUGGGAGUGGAAGAGCGACGGACAGAAUUCGAAUCGACGACGACGAACAAGCUGUGAAACCUCCAACGCUAGACAGGAUCAAGAAAGCCAUUAGGGGACUGAAGAACAACAAGGCUGCUGGGAAGGACGAACUCCCGGCCGAGCUUCUCAAGCACAGUAGUGAGCAGCUGUAUCAACUCUUACACCGUAUUAUAUUGAAGAUAUGGGAGGAGGAAUAACUGCCUGCUAGUUGGUUGGAUGGUCUCAUUUGCCCUCUUUUCAAUCGACUGGAGUGCGCGAAUUACAGAGGAGUAACACUCCUCAAUUCAGCGUACACAAUUUUGUCCGGAGUUCUGUUCCACAGGCUGAGGCCGAUUGAGGAGUCCUUCGUCGGCGAAUAUCAGGCAGGAUUUCGUGAGGGCCGAUCAACGACGGAUCAGAUGUUCACCCUGCGCAAGAUUCUCGAUAAAUUUCGGGAGUACAACUUGCAGACCCAUCAUCUGUUUAUUGAUUUCAAGGCGGCGUACGAUUCAGUGAAGAAAAACGAGUUAUGGCAGAUUAUGAUCGAACAUGGAUUUCCGGCGAAGCUGAUUAGACUGAUUCGUGCGACGCUUGACGGAUCGAAAUCAAGUGUACGGGUUGCGGAUAAAAUUUCGUCAUCGUUCGUAACCUUUGACGGACUGAAGCAGGGCUCCUGGGCUUCGUACCUUUUAAGAGGGAGACUCCGAGGAUUGGACUUACGAUUAACACCACAAAGACCAAGUACAUGAUUACUGAUGGUCAACGUCGAUCCGUCCGUGGUAGUGGUGCUAGGUGGGGAAAAGUUUGAAGUUGUGGAUGAAUUUGUUUAUCUUGGUUCUCUAUUGACGUGCGAUAAUGAUGUUACCCGCGAGGUGAGAAGACGGAUUACGGCUGCGAAUCGGGCCUUUUUCGGUCUGCCAAACCAGCUAAAGUCCCGCAGGCUGCAAACGAAGACAAAACUCGCGUUGUACAAGUCGCUGAUUCUUCCGUUCGGUUUAUACGGUCAUGAAACGUGAACGUUGAAAGAAGUUGAUCGGAGAGCUUUUGGGGUCUUCGAUCGUAAAGUGCUGCGAACAAUACUCGGCGUUAAACUGGAGGACGGCAUCUGGCGGCGUCGCAUGAACUACGAAUUGUACCAGGUAUAUAAAGAGAUGGAUAUAGUGAAGCGAACACAACACGGCAGGCUGCGGUGGGCUGGACAUGUAGCUCGUAUGCCGGAGGAACGACAAGCUGAAAUUACAUUCAGCGGAGAACCAGGAAGGGGUCGUCGGCUUCGUGGAAGGCCGCGCACACGUUGAGGAGGGCCUCUAAACGUUCAGGGCGACUGGAAGCGAUUGGCCUAGGACCGAGGCAAGUGGAGCCGGAGUAGAUAGAAAUGUACAAAUAAGAAGAAAAGGGAUGAGCCAGGGAUUGAACUCAAGAUCUUCUGCAUUUGAAUCAGAAGUGAUAAUCAACCUCGUCUUGCCUUUCAAUUCAAUAACUCAAGAAGAACAAUUGUAGGGUGUGUGUGCCAUCAGUAAUUUCACGCUCCCAUAUUCAUCUUAUGUGAAAACAAGCGAUUACGACACCGAUUGAUUCUGUUCUUUUUGUUUUCAUGGGUGCUCACUUCUAACAAAAAAUACAAAAAUAAGAAACAAAACAAACAGCGCUUCAAUCCUUUGUUUUUCGUAGGAUGAAAAUGGGAGCCACAUGCUUAAUAAGGGAACCAAUACCCUACAUUGUAAGAAUGGUAUUGCAACCGAACUCAUCAAGUUGGGCCCAAACAUGUUGGCUCCUUGUUUGAAGCGGCUGUUGGUCAAGUUUUAGUGGGUAUCCAGAAAAUCGUCAAAGUUGGAAGGAUAUAGAGCUCAGGAUUACCAAUUUCAAGAAUGUCGGAUAGCAAUCCUGAAAAGAUUGUAUUCACAGCAGAUCCAAAUGGAAUUUUUCAAGCUAUAAUCUAUGAACUCAAACUUCAGAACGUCGUAUUAGCUUAGCGUCUUGCAAACAUUUGUAAGUUUGAAAUAGGACCGUCCUGCUCGUUAGUAAAUAUUGCCCUACCAGUCACACUGUAUAAUACCGAUACCGCAGAUCAGCAGCACUCCACUAGCCUCCAGUCAGUGCAGUGGAUGAGCAAGAUGCCUCCCAUAGCUGGAGUGAAAGAUACGUAAAAGAUGAUAAUGAUAAUCGUUGCUUUGUGUGAAAUUGAUUGUAAUGUAUACUAAUGUGCUACAAUCGCGUGCUCCGCUUCUCCGGGCCAUCCCACAGCCACAGAGCUAGAGACAACAAAUGCGUUUCACUUUCCAUACCGUACGGCGGCAACGGCAAACUAUACAAAACAUAGCGCAGCGUGUACCUCAAGCAGUAGUGGAUUGUUUCGUUGCACUCGCUGCUGUCUACUAAUGGGCGACUAACGAUUUCAUUUGAAUAUGACAAACCAUCAGCAGCGUGACGACGACAACCGAGCAAGACGAUCAUGUUUUGAAGCGGAGGCGCCAGCUCGUCACAACAGCAGCGGCAAAACGCGGCUGGGGAAACCGGUCGGUCUCCGUCCGCCGAUCACCGAAGUCGUCUAGGUCGACCGGCCUUCUUCUAAUAAAAACACCCGAGGUCAACUGGAGCGUGCUACGCUCGAGCAACAGUGUGCUCUCUCUCGCUCGGUGUGUAUCGGUUCCCGAUGUCAAUUAUUCACAGGUCCGGGUGAACGUAUAUGUUUGCCUGUAUUUGUCGAUAAAAAUAUGUAAACAAACCGAUCAGCUGAUCGCGACGUCACGUUUGCCAGAAAUUUUGUUCGGAGCUUCUGGAACGUGACGUCACCUUCGGCAACUUCGUGCGAUUUCGGCUUGCCGAAGUUGACAUGACACGACUACUACUUCAAAAUUAUCAUAUCACAAACACCACUUUGCCCGAUGGGCCUAACCUGGUGAAAUUCAGAACAUUGAUCGGUUCCGUAGCCGUGUCCGUGUGUAUAUCGACGAAACGUCAACAUUUCACUGUUCUGCAACAACGCAACGGUGACUGUUCUAAAGUGCGAACGCAAAAUCUUGUUCUUGGUAUAAGGCGUAGUUAAACCAAGCGGAGCAAUUCUCCUGCUUUGCCCUAAUUGUGUCUACGGAUGCUACUGCAUUACUGGAAAAGGGGGGGGCGUGGGAUUGGCGACAGGUGAAACGAAUCCUUCCAUUUUCCUAAGCAUAAUAUGCUAUCAGAAUAACGCUCUACAGAAGCGGGUUGAGUUUCACGUCCAGUGGUUUUCAAUUGCUUGCGACAUGUUCUCGGUAACGCUCAAGAUGUCUCACAAUUUGAAUCUACUUAGGAUUUUGUUAUCAACAGUCAAGUUCCAAUAAAAUAAACAUUCAUUUUCACGAAAAAAAAAAUAUAAUAAUAUGCUGUGGGGUGGAGGGUUCGAUUCCCGCUCCGGACGAUGAAAUUUUUCGUGAGAAUACAGGGUGCGUGCGGUAAUUUUGCACUAACCUGCAAACAGGAAUAUUUCAUCAAAGGGUUGCAAUAAAAAUAUAAAUCCCACAUCAUCAAAUGCACCAUAUUUAUAGUGAACUGUGAAAAAUAUAAAACCAUUAAUAAUCAAAAACGUGGUGGUAUGAGAAAAUAUUUUCGGAUCCUAUGUUUUACACUAGCACGCCCAAAAACAUUUCGGGUUCUACUAUUUGUUGCGUAAAUAAGACGAAAUCAGUAAAAUGUAAUGUGUAAAAGCUUGAUAAUGAUACACGAGACGUAAUGAUACAGAUAUGCUUCAAAAAUUAUAAUUUAAAUAAUUUUGACGUGGUGCGUUUAACACAUUAUCGAAUGGCAUCAAUAAAAACUGGUUGUUUUUUUCGAUACACUAAGUCUAGGGUACAACUUUUUUUUAGUCAGCAUCGGAUCACUAAGCGGUCUUCAACAAAGAUGUUCCGCAUAGAAUUCCCUAUAAUAAUACUAAAAAUAAGGGUUAUUGAACGCUUCCAUUGCCAUCUAGUGGCAGAAAACUAAAACUAUGCCCUUCCUGCACAUAUUUGUACCAGUUUUACCAUAUAGACUUCAGACUAGUCGACCGAUACCUAAGACCUUAUCAAUUCAGCUCAAAUUUGUGCUGUAGCUUAUGGGAGUCUAAAACAGCAAAUUGAGGUGGUCAGAUUUAGGAUAUUUUAGUUUUAAAUUUUCUCAUAAAUGUUUGAGCAGCCCUAGUAGAAUACCAGCUUCAUAGCGUUCUUGACAGCUGAGAAAAUGCAGAUAGUAUGCAGCUGCUCCAUAUAUUUAUACUCAAGUUGUUCGCAUUUUCGUCUUCUAGAAACCUCUUUUUCAAAUUUAUGGGAUAUUUUUUGAACGGCACACAUAACGAUGAUACCAUUAAAGCUCCUCGUACAUAAAAAUAUUCUAGUUUUACCUAAAAUAACACAAUUGUUGACCUAAACACAGAGAAUAACACUAAAACGGACUUGCAGCGGUUCUCAGGAUCGUUAAAAAAAGGUUAUCGAUAUUAGGAUCACUUUUUUCUUCCUAAAUCGUUGAAAUAAUCACAAUUGUUCGCGAAAAAAUCAUUUAGUAUAGAUCUAUUGUCGAAUUAUUUUUAAAACGUGUUUUAUGAUUACGAUAUGAUUUAGUGCAAAAAUAUCGCACGCACCCUGUAGUUUCUUCUCCGUAUCCACUGGUGCAUGCUCGGUAUGUCCCUUGUCUAGUGUCGAGAUUCGUUCAGUGAGUACAGCCUCUGGCCUCUGGUAAUGGGCGCUAUAGUAAAUAGCCCCACUGUCAGUUGCGAAAACAUAAGAUAUUUUGGUUUGAUGAUCAGUUAUGGGAAUAGGUUUUUUUUCACUUCUCACGAUUAUAAAACCAGUGUUGGGAAUACUCACUUGCAUAAAGUUAUACUCACUUGCAGGGAUGGGAACACUCACUUAGAAAGAGUUACACUCAUUUGCUGUUUUCUCAUCUCAGAAGCAUGCUAUCAAAAAACAGUGUAUGGAGCACUUUUACCUUGUGGUUUUAUCUCAAACUUUCCCGAAUAAAGUAAGGGUCGCACACGCAUUCCAAAGUCGUAACAGAGCGUUGAAGGCAACUCUCCACGAGGUGAGUGUAAUUUACAUUCACCUCGUGGAGACUCGCCUUCAUUGCUCUCUCACGACUUUUUUUGAUAGCAUGCUUCUGAGCUGAGAAAAUACCAAGUGAAUGUAACUCUUUCCAAGUGAGUGUUCCCAUCCCUGCUCACUUGAUACUGUAUAAGUUCAGAAGCAAGCUAUCAAGAAAAAGUGUUUGAAGGACAUGUACAUUGCAGUUUUAUCUAAAAGUUUACCAAAUAAAGUAAUGGUCGCACACACGCAUACCAAAGUCGUGAGAGACCUGUGAGUACAUGGUGAGUAUUGUGCGUUUAGCACUAAAUUGAUUUCCGAAAAAAAAAAUCAUUGACUUCCGCUGCCUUUCCUAUGCGUUAAACAUAACAUCGGAAGUAGUGCGCUGUACAGUAAAUCUGGUUCUCUAUACAGCACACAACUUCCGACGUAAUGUUGACCGCAUAGGAAAAGCAGCGGAAGUCAAUGAAGUUUUUUUUCGGAAAAAUUUAGUGCUAACGCCACAAUAUAAAUUACACUAAUUUUACUCACCUCGUGCUCUCUCUCACGACUUUGGUAUACGUGUGCGGCUCUUACUUUGUUCGGGCAAAAUUUUAGAUGAAACUACAAUGUACAUGUCCUUCAUACACCGUUUUAUGAUAGCAUGCUUCUGAGCUGAGAUAGAAGCAAGUGCGUAUAAUACUUAUGACACACGUGUGAUACAAGAAUCAUUGUACAAUUGCGCUUGAAAUGAGUGCCAUACUGAAAAUUCUCUCAGUUCAAAUCAGUCUUGCUAAAAUUUUCUUGACACUGCGUACCGUUGUACAGGAAUCACACUCGUAUCACAUGUCUGUCCGGGGUAUAACACUUGCAAGUGAGUAUUCCCAACACUGUAUAAAACUCUUUAAUAUCUCAUUAUUAUGAAUAUACGGAAAAGGCAGCACGUGAUUAGUUGAAUGAAGCAAUCACAUUAGACACGCAUUGUGAGGCAGUAUUCCCAAGUAACAAUUCGAAGUCAUGAAUAAUCAUGCAUGCUGUAUUAUUGUUUGUUUAUUACAAUCUUAGUUGAAUAAAAACGUAUGUGGAAUAAUAUGCCGAAAUGAUGUUAUUCACAUUGUAAGUAAGCCCUAAUAGAAUACCGUCAAACGGGGUUACUUGCAACAGCGGUGUAACUUGCAACACGAUGACACACACUAAAUGUGAAAUAUUUUCUAAUAAUAACACAGCGCAACAUUUUUUUGUCUCAAGAGCAAACUUAUGUGUCUUCGAAGGAUUUUGGGCUGCUGAAUUCGAAUCCAGGGGGCUCAGAUUUGCUAUAACACGUCACAAUUUUGAGCUAUACCUCAAUUUAUAGGGCAAAAUAUGCGAUUUUGGGCUUUUUUGACUGCAAGCCAUUAUUAAGCAAGGAAAUAUUUUUUUCAAGCAAUCAAAAGGUUAAUUUGUCAAUUAACAUCUAAAUUAACGACUCAUGCAAAAUAUUUCGUUUUACCAAAUCAAAUUUGAUAGAUUUAAGCAUUUUAUGUUAGUAUGAAAACUUGCAUGCAACUUUUGGAGGAUGACUUGUAUGUGAAAUAUCGUACCUAUCAUAAAUCGCCUAAAACUAUCAAAUUCGAUUUGGUAAAACGAAAUAUUUUGCAUGAGUCGUUAAUUUACACUACCCGUCAUAAGUACGGACUCACAAAAAGUAUUGCAACAAUAUUGCAUCACCCUGACUCACCUCGGAAUCUCCAAAACCUGAGGACUUACAAAGAUGCUGUCUUCAGGAAAGUUAUUCAGAAGACCAAAAGCAACAACUUUUCUAUAGGCGGCAUUUUUGUAGGUGUUCUGGUUUUAGAGAUAUCGAGGUGAGUCAGGGUGAUGCAAUAUUGUUGCAAUACUUUUUGUGAGUCCGUACUUAUGACGGGUAGUGUAGAUGUUAAUUGACCAAUUAACCUUUCGAUUGCUUGAAGAAAUGUUUCCUUGCUUAAUGGCUUGCAGUCAAAAAAGCCCAAAAUCGCAUAUUUUGGCCUAUAAAUUGAGGUAUAGCUCAAAAUUGUGACGUGUUAGAGCAAAUCUGAGCCUGGAUUUGAAUUCAGCAGCCCAAAAUCCUUCGGAGACACAUAAGUUUGCUCUUGAGACAGACAAAAAGUUAUUUUUUGUUACGCUGUGUAAUGAAAACAAGUAUGCCCCACUAUUUGGUUUAUAGAGAUCAUGAGUAUCAAAUAUCGAUGAGACGGGCUUGGUGGUCUAGUGGCUACCGCUUCUGAUUUAUAUGCAGAAGGUCCUGGGUUCAAUCCCUGGCCCGUCCCUUUCCUCCUACUUUGUAUCUUUCUAUAUACUUUUUCUCUGCUCUCUACAUAUACAACUCAUGUAUAUAAACAUGUUCAUAGCAGUCGCUAGAACAGAAAUGGGUUGAACAAGCCGUUUCCCUUCCUUCCAAACUUUCACAGCACAGUGUCACAAUCCUAUUAGAAAACGCCUACAAGUUAUGCAAUCAAGCGAACUGUGCCGCACAUCUUUAAAAUAACAAAAACACACAAUUCUAUCACCUUCCCCUGGUAUCCACACACCAAUGUGUGAACCUUCUGCCAACCAAUUCCCACCAACACUCCAACAUCCGCAUGAAUUUGUGCUGGCGCAGAGGUAUAUUCGGCCAGAUGUGGAUACAAACGAUUGCAAUCAUCACUUCCUUACCCCUUCCCCACAUUGACCUGCAACCUGACGUGGCAGGCGCCAUUGUCGCCUAAAAAUAGAAGAUCACCAACGCUCACACACUGAAGAUGCCUGCUAGUCCCUGGUAGUUAUCUCAUUGGUCCUUGUGUGAGUGUAGCUGGUCUGGCGAUACUGGAGUAGCAUCCACGGGCGGUCAAUCAAGCUCAAGCUCAAGCACAAUUAUGAGUAUCAAAUAUCGAUUAAGUGGAAAAAUUAAUUUUAUUUCUUUAUUUAUUGUUUAGCUACACUGUUAGAACGAUUUGCUCAUUUUAUGCCAUAAAAACUAGCAUGAAAAUCGUACUUCACCUCUCCCCUACGGUAAGUGUGAUAAGUCUGAUGACCUUGCUUGCAGUUAGGGUACUUAAUAGUAAGCUUAGCUAAACGAUAAAAGUUUUAUAAACUUAUCGACUAAGUAAUGUAAAAAAUCAUUAUAAUACAGUACGGACCCGAUUUUGUCAGCCCCAUUUUGCAACGAACUUUAUGCUCUCAUCAACGGUCAAAUUUUGACCAAUUUAUUUAAGAUCAUCAUCAAACUAUUGCUGAAUGGCAGAACAUAGAGGAGUUAAAAGUGUGAAUAUCUGGAUAGAUUUUUGAGGGAAGCAAAAAAAUGUUUUUCGGAAAGGGGCUGACAAAAUCGGGUCACUUAUGUAUCACGGUCCGACAAAAAAUCAACUUUUGUUCUGCCCAGCUCUAAAUUUUACCUUUUCUGAUUGCUACCGACUAGAAACUCAUAAAUCUGAAGUUUUGACCCUCCCUCUCCUGGGAAAGAGGAGGGGCAUUGAUUUGUAAUUUUGGAAAAUCGAAAAAUUCCGACGUUUUUCGAUCGCUAUUUCGGCUAAAUGCACGAUAUCAAAAAAGGAAAAGGUUGACCACGGAGCUUUAGGGGAAUCUAUGACAUUUGGUCGAAAGACAUUUAGUCGAAUGACGUUUGGUCGAAUGACAUUUGGUCGAAAGUACAUUUGGUCGAACGGACAUUUGGUCGAAUGGACAUUUGGUCGAAAGUCAUUUUUUUGGAAAAGAAGCAUAUGACAUUUAGUCGAAUGGACGAUUCGUCGAAUGGACAUUUGGUCGAAAGGCACUAACUGAUGAAAAGGGAUGUGAGUGGAAAAUAAUAUUAUGGAUUUCGGUAUCAUAAUUAUUUAUAUGUUAUUGAACAAGCAAGCCUCGUUGAAUAAAUGUACGACUCGUGCUGAAAAAAAAAUCAUCAUUUUGCAACUUGUUGCAUAAAUAACCAUUUUGGCUCGCGUUCAGUUCAUAUGCAACACUGCGUCAAAGAAUAGCCUAUGUUUAAGGACAAACAUCUUGAAAUCCCACUUCAACAGUGCAUCAGAACUUCAGACGCACAAUUCUCAAGAAGCAAACUGUAGUUUGACAGUGCAUUUUAUAAUGCUGUUUUCGCUUACUUAUAAUAAGCUUGAAACAAGAAGAUCAGGUGCACUGGUUUUGUUUACGAAGAGAUGUGUACGCUCGAAGUCGCGAGUUCUGGAUCCUAACCAAUCUGUCCUUAAAAGAAGGAAAAAUAUCCGAUGAAAAAGUCUGCAGCUAUAACAUCCAAAUAUCAAACGGAAGAACGGCUUGCAUUCAAAAGGAGAAAUUGCUUCUGAAACAAUCAGUAGUUGGUACAGGAAAACGCAAUGAAAUAAAUAAACGUGAAAGAAUAGCCUAUGUUUCAAAGAAGGAAAAAUUCAUGAUAAAAUGACAGCAGCCAUAACAUUCAAACAUAGUACAAAUACGAAUUUUGAAAGAAUAGCCAUGUUCAAAAGAAGGAAAAAUCAUAGAUGAAAAAAUCACAACCAUAAUGUCCACUUUUCACUCUCAGCACAAAUAAUACACUUGAAAGAACAGCGUAUGUUGAAAAGAAGGAAAAAUAUUUGAUGGAAAAGCCAGUAUGUUAUACACAAAAACGCAAUGAAAUGGUGAAACUGGAAAGAAGAGCCGAAACCUACACUGCACUUCAAUGUUUGCUUUUUAUGUUUGAUCAAAUUGCUAUACGACUUAGCGUCCAUUCGACCAAACGUACUUUCAACCGAAUAAGUUCAGUAACAUAUAAAUUAUUAUACCGAAAUCUAUAAAAUUAUUUUCCAUUCAAAACUCUUCAUCAGUUAGUGCCUUUCGACCAAAUGUCCAUUCGACUAAAUGUCACAUGCUUCUUCUUCCAAAAAAUGGGUUUCGACCAAAUGUCCAUUCGACCAAAUGUCCGUUCGACCAAAUGUACUUUCGACCAAAUGUCAUUCGACCAAAUGUCCUAAAGCCGCUUUAGGGGUUGUGCAACUACCAAGAAAAUUUGACGAAGAUCCGUCAAGCCAUUCUCGAGAAACGGUGUUUUUACGAAAUGAUGUUUUAAAGAUUUCUUAUAUUGCACGCAAAGAAUCCAACUACUAUAUGGCACAAUUUCUGAUUUAACCAUGCCGUUUAGCAUCAUGGUGUCUUCGAGGAAGUUUUUCACUAUAAUAACGUGCUUCUUUUAACCUGUUGGUAAAAAUGAUCAAAAAUUUACUUUUUGAAUUUUUCAAGAUACAAGGUUAAUGUCUUCACAAGAGUUGUAGAAAUUGCUGUUUUGAAUAUCAUUGUCGAAGACGCUAAAUUCGUAACUCCGUUAGUUUUCAAGAUACGUUACGUUUUUAUUACCGACGGCCCCUUAAAAGUGUUUUCCCUCAAUGGCCGUUACACAUAUUUAUUUCACUUUUUGUCUUUUUUGACUGGUCGAGGGAGGGGGGGGGAUAAAAAUGAUAAAGUAUUUAAUUUGAAAAAUAUUAAAAACUCAUCGGAUUUAUUAAAGAAUUUUGAGAAAGACCCGAAAUUAUGAUAAAUAUAUUUUUAUUGGCCCCCUCAAAUGCAAAAUCUACCAAAAAUUUUUGAAGGGUGGGAGGAGAAAUUUGUAUCAUUGGAUUAUUUUGACUUUCUAAAAUUUCUAAAAGAGACAAUUACUUGUACUUUCGCAUUUGUAUGAGGUAAUUUGCUUACAAUUAGCAAAGCAAAUCAAAGAUAACCGUACACACCGUAGUUGCUACUCCGUGAUUGACCAGAACAAUCGAAAUUGCAUUCUUAGACAACUUGUUGAGAAAGUGAAUAUGAUGAAAACUCAGAUUAAUUUUGGUAGUUAUGGAUAAAUAAUGUUGAAAUGAUUAAAAAAAAAACUCCAUUCUGCAAAUGCAAAUUUGAAGCAUGAAGUAAAUUGUUAGAGUACUCGAUUUUUCUUCAUAAUAUCAUGCCAAUUAAAAGGAAAUGUAAGAAUGUAGAGCACAAUAUGCUAUAUGCUAGAAGAAAUUGGUAGAAAUCAUCAAAAUAGUUCAUUUUAUUCAAUAAACAGAGUGUAUUUAUAAUUUCUGAAAUAGUAUGUACAUAUCUCCAUGAUUACUUCAUUAUGUAAUUUGACAACUUUAGUAACACUGAAAAAAAGCUAUUAUAUUAUAGUAUUUGGAAGUAUUCAUUAAAUACAUUGUAUACAAAAUUUGAGAACCAAGCCGUAUUCCUGUUGGGAUGUAAUGCUAUAAAUAGAAAGAAACACAUUUCGUGGCUAUAGUGAAAGGAUAAAUAUGAAUUAACUUGAAAUAAAUGGACUUUGUACCAUUAAACUAUCUUUUAUCAUGUUGCGAACUUUUUCCCCAAGUAUGAAGUAAAUGUUCGCAUUGAAGUACUUGCAUUAAAAGCUUUAUUACUAGAGCUACAAAAAGAACUCGGUAAAAUCUAGUGCUAUGUUUUUAAGGUUACAUGAUAGGGAAUCGUUAAGCAAUGAAAAACGAAGUUAUUGUCUUUCCGCUUAAUAGUUAUUUUGUAGAGACUUUUAGGUGCGAACUUUUGCCCGCACCACUUUAUAGGCAAUUGUAAGCAAAUUACCUCAUACAAAUGCGAAAGUACUAGUAAUUGUCUCUUUUAGAAAGUCUAAAUGUUUGACCUAUUGGAGACUGUGAGAAUAGAAUUGUGGAAUCCAAAUGAAAACGUUAUUGAGAAAAAAAUACUUUCAAGGAGCCGUCGGUAAUAAAAACGUAACGUAUCUUGAAAACUAACAAAGUUACGAAUUUGGCGUCUUCGAGAAAGUUAUUCAAAACAGCAUUUUCUACAAGUCUUGUGAAGACAUCAACCUUGUAUCUUGAAAAAUUCAAAAAGUAAAUUCUCUAUCUCACUUUUAGGGGGAUUGAUCAUUUUUACCAACAGGUUAAAAGAAGCACGUUAUUGUAGUGAAAAACUUCCUCGAAGACACCAUGAUGCUAAACGGCAUGGUAAAAUCAGAAAUUGUGCCAUAUAGUAGAUUGAUUCUUUGCGUGCAAUAUAAGAAAUCUUUAAAACAUCAUUUCGUAAAAACACCGUUUCUCGAGAAUGGCUUGACGGAUCUUCGUCAAAUUUUGUUGGUAGUUGCACAACCCCUAAAGCUCCGUGGUCAAUCUUUUCCUUUUUUGAUAUCGUGCAUUUAGCCGAAAUGGCGAUCGAAAAACCUCGGAAUUUUUCGAUUUUCCAAAAUUUCAAUUCAUUGCCCCUCCUCUCUCCCAGGAGGAGGAGGGUCAAAACUUCAGAUUUAUGAGUUUCUAGUCGGGAGCAAUCAGAAAAGAUGAAAUUUGGAGCUGGGCAAAAAAUUUGUCGGACCGUGUAAUUCCUGCAGAGUUCCUUUAAAAAUCUGAAAGUGUCCCCUGAAAGAAUCUCAAAAAGAGUCUUUUUCAAUAUAUUAGAGGAAUCCCCGAGGGAAUCCCAAAAAAGAUCUGCAAAAGAAACCUGGGAUAACCCCUAAAGGAAUAACAGGAGAUCUCCCUGAAGGAAUCCCUGGAGAAGUCCCAGGAAAAAAAAUAAUAUAGGAAUCCUGGAAGAAGUCUCUGAAAAAAAUCCAGGGAGAAAUCCCAAAUGGAAUUCAGGAGAUUUUUCUCAAGAAAUUCUAAAAAGAAUCAUAUAAGAAAUCAAUUAAGGAACUAUGGAAGCAAUACAUAUUCCUAUCCAGGAAUCUCUAGAAGAAGGAAUCUCUCAUUUAAUCUUGUUAGAAAUCCCUAUACGAAACCAUGAAACAUAAAUGACGAAAUGUAGGGAAAUAUCAAUGGAGGAAUUAUGGAAGGAAUUCCUAAUGGAAGCCCGGAAGAAGUCUGAAAGAAUCCCGGGAGUAAACCCAGGGUAAAUCGUGGAGGAAUCCCUGAUGCAGUCUCAGGAAUAACCCGUGGAAGAAUCCCAAUAGAAAUCGCGGGAGAAAUCAAUGAAGGAACCACUGGAUAAAUUCCAGAAGGAAUCCCCAGAGAAAUCCCAGAAAAGGUCUCUACAGAAACGAAUCACAGACGAAAUUUCUGAUAGAAUACCAGAAAGGAUCCAGCAGGAACCCCAAUAGGAGACUUAUCUGAAAGAAUGCCAAUAAAAUCCCGGGAGAUGGUAAUAAAGGAAUCGCAGAAUGAAUUCCGGAACAAAUUCGUUAAGGAAUCUUGGAAACAAAUCCUUGAAAGAAUGCCUGAAUGAAUCUCGAGAGAUAUCUCUAAAGAAAAUCUUGGAGAAAACAAUCAGUGGCGAUUUCCUAACCUCAAAUCUACCUGUUCUAAACAAACUGGCUUGAAAUUUGUAGAAAAUGACAAGGGUAACCAUUUCCGGCCAUUUGCAAUUUGAUUCUGACCCUGAAUCUUCCGCAAUUGCAAUUUUUAGGGUCGUUGAACAGGUAAAAAGUGAGGUUACGAGACGCCACCGAGAACAAUUAAGAAAUUUUAGUAAGAAUCAACGAAGGAAAGUUUCUGGAACAAUCCGUGAAGUAUCCCGCUAGGAAUCAAUGAACAAAUUCCUAAGGGGAUCCUGGGCGAAAUCAAUGAAGGAAUCCUGUGAGGAAUCCUUGAUGGAACUUCGGUAAAUAUCGCUGGGAUUUCGGGAAAAUUCUCAAAGAAAACCUAGGAAUGAGCAAUGAAUGAAUCAAGGAUGCCGGGCGAUAUCGUUGAAGGAAUCUCCGGAAAAAUGUCAAAAGAAUUCCAUUAAAAAAAAACUCGAGAGAAAACAAUGAGGAAAUCCCGGGAGCAAUUAUGAAUGGAAUCCCUGGAUGAAUCAUUGACGGAAACUCAGGAAAAGUUUUCCUGAUUCAGAGAGAAAUCCCCAGAAACAAGCAUACGAGAAAUCAAUGAAGGAAACCUGGGUGAAAUAUCUGAAGGAAUCCCUGAAAAUAUCAAGGAGGAUUUCCUAAAUGAAUCUCGGGAUCAAUUCUUGAAAAAAAGGUACCGUGGAAAAUCCCUUAAUAAAUCCCGUUAGAAACCAAUGAAGGAAUGAUGGAAGAAGUCCAGUGAGAAAUCUCUAACAGAAUCUCAAAAUUCCCCGGAAACAAAUCUUGGUAGUAAUUCCUAAAAGAAACCAGGGAGGUAUCAAUGGAGGAACUGAAGGAUGCUCUGGAUUAAUAACUUAAAGGAAACGCGGUAGAAACCUAGGAAGAAUCCCUGAUGCAGUCUCGGAAAGAAUCCCGGAAGAAAUCCAUAAAGGAAUCCCGGAAUGAAUCAAUUGAAUCUCGUAAGAAAACCCUGAUGGAAUUCCGGAAGAAAACCCAGGAAAAAUCCCGAAGUAAUUCCUGAUGCAAUAUCGGGAAUAAUCUGUGAAAAUAUUCUGGAAGAAAUCCGAAAAGGAAUCCCGGGAGGAAACAAUGAAGGAAUGUUGAUAAAAAUGUCGAAAAUCAAAGAAUAAAUCUCCUGGGGAUUCCGGAAAAAUUCCGCCAAAAAUAUCUGACGAAAUACCGGGAAACACCUGCAAGAACUCUGCAAGCUACCCAAAUGGAAUACUCCGAAACUCGGGACAAUUUCCGUUAACAGGAUCAUUGCAAGAAAUCGCGGGAAGAACUGCACGAGAAUUAUCAGCAAUAGCUCCCGCAGAAAUCUCACAAAGAACGACGGAUGUAACCUCGUAAAAAAAUCCUUGGGAGAAAUCCCGAAAAACUUUGAGAGACAUCCCAGGAGCAAAAUCGGAAGAAAUCCUCUAUGAGAAAUCCUGAGGUGAACUCCGAGGGAAAUCUCAGGUGAAACUGCAGGAGAAAUACCACGAAAUCCUUAACAAAAAAAAAACGGGGGAAAAUUCUGUAGAAAUAUUGGGAGUAGUUCACGGAAACUCCCAGGAGGAAUUCCUGCGGAAUAUUUGUGAAAAACUCCUGAAGUCCUUGGAUGAGUGUAAGUCUUGUGUAAACCUUGUGUAAAUCACAGGAAUAACUCCAGCAGAAACGCUGGGAGAAAUCCCGGGAUGUUCUCCUGGGGAAAACUCUAGAGGAACACCGGAAGGAAUAACGGAAAUUCAUUCGAGGGGAAUCCCGAAAGAAACUCUAGGAGAAAUCCCGCGACAACAUCUGAGAAACAUCCUGAAUGAAAUUCCUUAGGAGAUCUCGGGAUAAAUUCUGGGAGAAAUCCCACAAAUUUGUUCGGAGGGACUCCUGGAAAAAACCUGAUGCUGGAAGCA